GCCCUUGUAGUAUAGCUUGGAUAGAAUAUUAGCUUGCGGAGCUAAAGACCGGAGUUCAAAUCUCCGCAGGGGCG
rnacentral:tRNA from 1 species